rnacentral:rRNA from 1 species
GGGCUGCGGUAAUUUGACCGUGCGAAGGUAGCAUAAUCAAUAGUCUUUUAAUUGAUGACUGGAAUGAACGGCGUUACGAGAAAUAAGCUGUCUUUUAGGCACAAAUUGAAUUUUACUUUCAAGUGAAAAGGCUUGAAUAGAAUUAAGGGACGAUAAGACCCUAUAAAACUUAACAUAAUAUCUCUUUUGGUAAUUUGAAGUGAAGUUAAAAUUGAAGUUAUAUUGUUUGGUUGGGGCGACCUAGAUAUAAUUAAGUAGCUGUCUAAAAAUAAAAAUAAUAAUAAUUUGUUUUGUGAACCUUUAUUAAGGAUUAAAAAAUUAAGUUACUUUAGGGAUAACAGCGUAAUUUUUUCAGAGAGUUCUUAUCGAAGAAAGUAGUUGCGACCUCGAUGUUGAAUUAAAAUUUCUUUUAAAUGAAGCAGUUUAAAUAGUGGGUCUGUUCGACCUUUAAAAUUU